rnacentral:lncRNA from 1 species
UCCAGACAUUAUUUUCACAUAGUAACACAAUCCCAUUGUGUUCAACAAAAAUUAUGUAAGUAAAUAUAAGUUUAUUAUCACAAACCUCUUGUACAAUAUUAUGGUAGUAUUUAUUAUGAAUACAAAAUUUAACACGAAAAUAUAACCGGCGAUGUGAUACCCAAACAAAACCUUGGUUUAGUGGGAAAAAGGCAAUAAAGAGAAAUUAAUUCAGUCUAAAACCUACCCUCAAAAAAAAAAAAAAAAAAUCAGUCUAAAACCUUAAUUUAUAAGAUCUUG